rnacentral:rRNA from 1 species
GCAUGAAACCUCGAGCGAGAUUUUAAGAACUAGCUUGCUAGUUCUUAAAUGACAGCGGCCCCACGGGUGAGUAACGCGUGGGCAAUCUGCCCUGUGGAAAGGGAUAGCCUCGGGAAACCGGGAUUAAUACCUUAUAAUAUUAGCACUUCCCAUGAAGAGCUAAUCAAAGAUUUAUCGCCACAGGAUGAGCCCGCGUCUGAUUAGCUAGUUGGUGAGGUAAUGGCUCACCAAGGCAACGAUCAGUAGCAGGUUUGAGAGGAUGACCUGCCACACUGGGACUGGAACACGGCCCAGACUCCUACGGGAGGCAGCAGUGGGGAAUAUUGCGCAAUGGGCGAAAGCCUGACGCAGCGACGCCGCGUGGAGGAUGAAGGCCUUCGGGUCGUAAACUCCUGUCAAGAGGGAAGAACCGUAUGCGGAAUAAUACGCCGCAUGCCUGACGGUACCUCUAGAGGAAGCACCGGCUAACUCCGUGCCAGCAGCCGCGGUAAUACGGAGGGUGCAAGCGUUAAUCGGAAUCACUGGGCGUAAAGCGCGCGUAGGCGGCUUGGUAAGUCAGGUGUGAAAGCCCCCGGCCCAACCGGGGAAUUGCACUUGAUACUGCUAGGCUAGAGUUCAGGAGAGGGUGGCGGGAAUUCCAGGUGUAGGAGUGAAAUCCGUAGAUAUCUGGAGGAACACCGGUGGCGAAGGCGGCCACCUGGACUGACACUGACGCUGAGGUGC